ACUUAUCUUGUUUAUAAUGUGGUCCAUUGCUUCAAUAUUUUUUUUACUUUCCCUUUCCCGGACUUUAUGCUGCGAUGCAAGGGCUUGCUGGAGCUCCUUCACCUCUUUUUCGCAAACCUCAUUCUCUGUUUUCAGUCCCUCCUGAAUCUCUGUUCUCAUAUCCUUCUUAUCUUCAGCAACUGCAAUCUGGAGCUCUAUCAACUGCCUCUGGAGUAAGCUAUUCUGAAGCUUUAUAUUAUUGAUCUCGUUUGCAAUCUGAAGCUCUGUCAACUGCCUCUGGAGUAAGCUAUUCUUAAGCUUUAUAUUAUUGAUCUCGUUCUCCUGCUUGUUACCCUUUAUAUGUUGCAGUACAGAAUUGGUUAACAUGAGCAACACCACACAGUAACCAAAUUGAUGAUACUUUUCAGCAAGAUGCAAGCAUCUUUCUAUUAAAAUGGUAGUGAUUUUAGAUGAUGUUUGUUCUAAAAAUUCUGCACUCACAGAAUCAUUGUUUGACAUUGUAUUGAGCAGAUUAAAGUAGUGAAAAUUGAGCAGAUGUUGAGGAUUAAAGAAGUGAAAUUUUUAGCAGAAUUAGCAGAUGUUACCUGUUGUUUUUUGUAAAGGCUACCAACUAUAUCAACUAUAUCAAUGAGCAGAUGUUGAAUCUAGACGAAUGCAUGUGCCAAUAUAAUCAACUGCAGUGCCAUCAUCGGAGACAGAGAAAUAUUGGAGAGAUACUGGGUCAAAAGAUAACAGAUAACAUAAAUACUAGAUCAAUAAUUUUGGGGCGACCGGGUGAGGUGAACAUGCCAAAUCAGCAUCAUGAGAGAAAAAAAAACUCCUCAAAUAAUCUCACUUUACCAAAAAACUAUCUCUCUCUCACCAAACUCUCUGCUCCGCUACAAGGUAUGCAUCAAAACCUCAUCUGCUUCUACUUUCCAUGGCAACACCCAGAUGUCUCCUCCCAUUCCCCUUCCCAUUUUGUAUAAAAUUAGACAAAUUCCCUAGACAUAUAAUACCCGCAUCUGAUACAUAUAGCUAGCAAUUUGUGAUUUUUAGACUUGGUUUACUGAGGAAUUAGAGAAGAAAGGAGUGAUUGACUGGAUUUUACAAGAAUUCAGACUCUACUAGGGUCAAUUAGAAGUUCAAAUUACCUUCUUUUUGGUUUUUCAUUACUUGGCUCCUGUUUAUCUACUGUAGAUUCAUGUCCAUUAAAAUAUCACGUGUAUCACGGCUCAAAAAAGUGAAAUAGCAUAGCUGAAAGGUUGGUUAGAAAGAGACAGGUUAAUAUCAUGGUAUCAGGGUAUGGUUAUUUACAACAUAAAGUAAAAUUUAAGUAUAUUUAUCAGUUGAGAUGUGAACGUAAUGGUCAAGUGUUCAAAUUAAUAAUCUCUAUCAUUAUGUUGAUUUAUUUCUCAUAGCCCAUUCUUGGGGUUCAAUUGUUUUUCUUGAGCUAAAAAAAUGUUCUUUCCGCACUGUCUCUCCCCUGAACAAAAUGUAACAGGUAUCUAAGUGAAUGAAGGAAACUUUAGCUAGAUGCUUGGUUACAUUUACAUGGAAAUUUUCCUUUACACAUAUUACAUAGAUAUGUACUAUGGGAGUUUUUUAGUUGUAGAAAAGAAAGUUAAAGAAAAGAAGGGAAGAGAAGAGAAAGUUUUACUUUCUUUUCUCUAUCUUUCUUCUCAAAAGUGAGAAGAAAUUUUUUCACUCAAAAUGCACUCACUUUUCUUAACUUUCUUUUCUUUAAUCCACUAUCAAAGAUUUAGCUAAAUAAAUCCAAGAAUUUGCACAAAAUUUAUUUCGUUUUCAUAAAUUACCUUUUUAAUUUCUGAAUAAGAUUUUUCUUUUAGCUAAAUACAUCCACUAUAAGCUCCGAACAUGUGGGGAACCAAGAACAUGUGGUUAAUAUAUUUUUAUAAAUUUGCAAAAAUGGAAUGUCAUGAUGAGUUUGAUCAUGUAUGAGAAUGAAUGUCGAAUGAUAUUGAGGAAUGUGCUUUGGCGGAGGAUUUAGUAGAAAAUGAAGAAGUUGAUGAAGUGAUUAGAGAUCCGAAAGUAUGAAAGGAGUUUGGUUCCGUUGAUGAGGGGGUUUCCCCUUCCAUUUUCAGGUAUAAUAUCUUAUUUUACUGCUUUCUCUUUCAUUUUUUGAAUAGCUGCUCAUCGUGAAGUAAUAUGAUUGUAAUUUAUCUGAACAAUAGCAGCCAAAUUGUGUUGAUUAUCUUCAUCAUUAAUAUUGUUAGUUCAGAAUCUUUUAUUUUUCAAUUGUACAAUGAUUUGUCUUGCAAUGGAAUGGACAGAUAGAGGUAUUUAUGAAAUCAUGAUCUGUUAAUUUAG
rnacentral:lncRNA from 1 species